rnacentral:rRNA from 1 species
AUACCCUAUUAUUUUUAAUGUAAAAUUUUAAGCUAGAGUAUUUAUAGUUAUGAUCUUAAAACUUAAAGAAUUUGGCGGUAUUAUAGGUCUACUUAGAGGAAUCUGUUAAGUAAUCGAUAGUCCACGUUGUACCUUACUUAUAUUAAUUCUUGUAUACCACUGUUAAGAAUAUAUUAUAAGAUUAUACUCAUAAUAAAUGAAUAUUUUUAAUUUCAAGUCAAGGUGCAGUAAUAUAUAAGAUAAUAAUGGAUUACAAAAAAUUGUAUUUAUAAUGAAUAAGAAUUGAAAUAUAAAUUUGAAAGUGGAUUUAAUUGUAAAUUUUAAAAGAUUAUAAAGUUGAUUUAAGCUCUAUAAUAUGUACACAUCGC